UACAGAGGGGGCAAGCGUUGUUCGGAAUUACUGGGCGUAAAGGGCGCGUAGGCGGCCCGCUAAGUCGAACGUGAAAUCCCCAGGCUCAACCUGGGAACUGCGUCCGAUACUGGCAGGCUUGAAUCCGGGAGAGGUGAGUGGAAUUCCGAGUGUAGAGGUGAAAUUCGUAGAUAUUCGGAAGAACACCAGUGGCGAAGGCGGCUCACUGGACCGGCAUUGACGCUGAGGUGCGAAAGCGUGGGGAGCAAACAGG
rnacentral:rRNA from 1 species